rnacentral:rRNA from 1 species
UACGGAGGAUCCGAGCGUUAUCCGGAUUUAUUGGGUUUAAAGGGUGCGCAGGCGGGAGAUUAAGUCGGCGGUGAAAUUUUGCAGCUCAACUGUAAAAGUGCCUUCGAAACUGGUUUCCUUGAGUGUAGAUGAAGUAGGCGGAAUUUGUAGUGUAGCGGUGAAAUGCAUAGAUAUUACAAGGAACUCCGAUUGCGAAGGCAGCUUACUAAAUUACAACUGACGCUUAGGCACGAAGGCGUGGGUAUCAAACAGGAUUAGAUACCCGGGUAGUCCCUGAGCGGG